GGGGGUAUAGCUCAAUGGUAAGGCCUUCGACUGAUGUUCGAGAGGUCUCCGGUUCAAACCCGGGUGUCCCCU